UACGGGGGGGGCAAGCGUUGUUCGGAAUUACUGGGCGUAAAGGGCUCGUAGGCGGCCAACUAAGUCGGACGUGAAAUCCCUCGGCUUAACCGGGGAACUGCGUCCGAUACUGGAUGGCUUGAGUUCGGGAGAGGGAUGCGGAAUUCCAGGUGUAGCGGUGAAAUGCGUAGAUAUCAGGAGGAACACCUGUGGCGAAAGCGGCUCACUGGACCAUAACUGACGCUGAUGCACGAAAGCUAGGGGAGCAAACAGG
rnacentral:rRNA from 1 species